rnacentral:rRNA from 1 species
GAUGAACGCUGACAGAAUGCUUAACACAUGCAAGUCAACUUGAACUUCGGUUUGGGUGGCGGACGGGUGAGUAACGCGUAAAGAACUUGCCUCACAGCUAGGGACAACAUUUGGAAACGAAUGCUAAUACCUGAUAUUAUGAUUAUAUGGCAUCGCACAAUUAUGAAAGCUAUAUGCGCUGUGAGAGAGCGUUGCGUACCAUUAGCUAGUUGGCGAGGUCACAGCUCACCAAGGCGAUGAUGGGUAGCCGGCCUGAGAGGGUGAUCGGCCACAAGGGGACUGAGAGACGGCCGUUACGCCUACGGGGGGCAGCAGGGGGGAAUAUUGGACAAUGGACCGAGAGGCGGAGCCAGCAAUUCUGUGUGCAAGAUGAGGUUGUUCGGAAUGUAAAGUGCUUUCAGUUGGGAAGAAAAAAAUGACGGUACCAACAGAAGAAGUGACGGCUAAAUACGUG